AGCUCCAAUAGCGUAUAUUAAAAUUGUUGCAGUUAAAAAGCUCGUAGUUGGAUCUGCGGUUAGGGCUUGCGGUCCACCACGCGGUGGCACUGCUCGUCCCGACCUACAUCGAAUUGACCCGCGUUGCUCUUCACUGAGUGACCGGGAAGGCUCGAACGUUUACUUUGAAAAAAUUAGAGUGUUCAAAGCAGGCAUUCAUCGUGCCCGAAUACAUGAGCAUGGAAUAAUGGAACAGGACUACGGUCACUGCACUUUUUCCGUUGGUUUCGGAGGACCGAAGUAAUGAUUAAGAGGGACAGUUGGGGGCAUCCGUAUUUCGUAGUCAGAGGUGAAAUUCUUGGAUCUGCGAAAGACGAACGAGUGCGAAAGCAUUUGCCAAGAGUGUUUUCAUUAAUCAAGA
rnacentral:rRNA from 1 species